rnacentral:rRNA from 1 species
CUACAGGCUUAACACAUGCAAGUCGAGGGGCAGCAUGGUCUUAGCUUGCUAAGACUGAUGGCGACCGGCGCACGGGUGAGUAACACGUAUCCAACCUGCCGUCUACUCUUGGACAGCCUUCUGAAAGGAAGAUUAAUACAAGAUGGCAUCAUGAGUCCGCAUGUUCACAUGAUUAAAGGUAUUCCGGUAGACGAUGGGGAUGCGUUCCAUUAGAUAGUAGGCGGGGUAACGGCCCACCUAGUCUUCGAUGGAUAGGGGUUCUGAGAGGAAGGUCCCCCACAUUGGAACUGAGACACGGUCCAAACUCCUACGGGAGGCAGCAGUGAGGAAUAUUGGUCAAUGGGCGAGAGCCUGAACCAGCCAAGUAGCGUGAAGGAUGACUGCCCUAUGGGUUGUAAACUUCUUUUAUAAAGGAAUAAAGUCGGGUAUGGAUACCCGUUUGCAUGUACUUUAUGAAUAAGGAUCGGCUAACUCCGUGCCAGCAGCCGCGGUAAUACGGAGGAUCCGAGCGUUAUCCGGAUUUAUUGGGUUUAAAGGGAGCGUAGAUGGAUGUUUAAGUCAGUUGUGAAAGUUUGCGGCUCAACCGUAAAAUUGCAGUUGAUACUGGAUAUCUUGAGUGCAGUUGAGGCAGGCGGAAUUCGUGGUGUAGCGGUGAAAUGCUUAGAUAUCACGAAGAACUCCGAUUGCGAAGGCAGCCUGCUAAGCUGCAACUGACAUUGAGGCUCGAAAGUGUGGGUAUCAAACAGGAUUAGAUACCCUGGUAGUCCACACGGUAAACGAUGAAUACUCGCUGUUUGCGAUAUACUGCAAGCGGCCAAGCGAAAGCGUUAAGUAUUCCACCUGGGGAGUACGCCGGCAACGGUGAAACUCAAAGGAAUUGACGGGGGCCCGCACAAGCGGAGGAACAUGUGGUUUAAUUCGAUGAUACGCGAGGAACCUUACCCGGGCUUAAAUUGCAGAUGAAUUACGGUGAAAGCCGUAAGCCGCAAGGCAUCUGUGAAGGUGCUGCAUGGUUGUCGCCAGCUCGUGCCGUGAGGUGUCGGCUUAAGUGCCAUAACGAGCGCAACCCUUGUUGUCAGUUACUAACAGGUUCCGCUGAGGACUCUGACAAGACUGCCAUCGUAAGAUGUGAGGAAGGUGGGGAUGACGUCAAAUCAGCACGGCCCUUACGUCCGGGGCUACACACGUGUUACAAUGGGGGGUACAGAGGGCCGCUACCACGCGAGUGGAUGCCAAUCCCCAAAACCUCUCCCAGUUCGGACUGGAGUCUGCAACCCGACUCCACGAAGCUGGAUUCGCUAGUAAUCGCGCAUCAGCCACGGCGCGGUGAAUACGUUCCCGGGCCUUGUACACACCGCCCGUCAAGCCAUGGGAGCCGGGGGUACCUGAAGUGCGUAACCGCGAGGAGCGCCCUAGGGUAAAACUGGUGACUGGGGCUAAGU